rnacentral:rRNA from 1 species
UACGGAGGGUGCAAGCGUUAUCCGGAUUCACUGGGUUUAAAGGGUGCGUAGGUGGGCAGGUAAGUCAGUGGUGAAAUCUCCGGGCUUAACUCGGAAACUGCCAUUGAUACUAUCUGUCUUGAAUACCGUGGAGGUCAGCGGAAUAUGUCAUGUAGCGGUGAAAUGCUUAGAUAUGACAUAGAACACCAAUUGCGAAGGCAGCUGGCUACACGAAUAUUGACACUGAUGCACGAAAGCGUGGGGAUCAAGCAGG